rnacentral:misc_RNA from 1 species
CCGGACUGCGCGUUGGCGGUGGUCGCGGCAACGGUCAGGAAGGUGGCCGUCACGGCCAUCAGCACCCGGUCGAAGCCCUGAGAGCUCUUGCGGUGGCCGGUCGAAAAGUCACGCAUUCUCGCACCCCAAAUUCUCACACCCUUGUCGGGUGAAACUGCCCCGGCAUGGAACAGCUCAUGUUGGUUCCGUCAGUACCUGUUGCAAAAGCGCCGGCUUGAUCGGACUUUGCUACGCAAUCCCGCAUUGAAAACAC